UACGAAGGGGGCUAGCGUUGCUCGGAAUCACUGGGCGGUAAAGCGCACGUAGGCGGCAUCUUAAGUCGGGGGUGAAAUCCUGGAGCUCAACUCCAGAACUGCCUUCGAUACUGGGAUGCUCGAGUCCGGGAGAGGUGAGUGGAACUGCGAGUGUAGAGGUGAAAUUCGUAGAUAUUCGCAAGAACACCAGUGGCGAAGGCGGCUCACUGGCCCGGUACUGACGCUGAGGUGCGAAAGCGUGGGGAGCAAACAGG
rnacentral:rRNA from 1 species